rnacentral:sRNA from 1 species
UUCACGUAAAGAGAAACUGAAAUUUGACUGCCCACAUAUUAGGUAUAACAUGAUAUAGUGGCAGUGCAGGCUUUACCCCAUUGCCCCAUGACACAGAUGUGUUUCAACCUUGACUUGGAGGGACUUGAGACAGAUAGUAGCACAGUCUCCAAGUCUAUUCAGUUUUUGGUUUCU